GAAGAAAAGAAAUAGAAUAGCUAGAAAAGAAGCAGGGAAAGAGACGAAAACAGGGGAAGAUAAGGGGAAAGAAAAAUAAAAGGGCAAACUGAGGAUUUAAAGCUUCAAGUUAAUUGCUUACAAGGAAAACGAGGCAUCGGCAUCUAAAGGAAAAGAAAAGAUCGUUGAGGAGUAAACGCGUAUUCCGGCAGCCACCACAAGGACUGCUCCACCUUCUCCUCUGUUUUCAAGCCAAACUCCCCCCUUCCAACUUCGAUUUGGACGAAGAGAAGCAAAGAUGUCGACAGCGCGCCUCUUUUGGUGAAGGAGAACGUGAAGGAGGUGUGUCGUGCAAGCACAACGUGGGCAGUAGAACGGUUGCUACA